AGAACGAACGCUGGCGGCAGGCCUAACACAUGCAAGUCGAGCGCUCCGCAAGGAGAGCGGCGCACGGGAGAGUAACGCGUGGGAACCUACCUUUUGGUUUGGGAUAACAUCGGGAAACUGGUGCUAAUACCGGAUAAGCCCUUCGGGGGAAAGAUUUAUCGCCAUUAGAUGGGCCCGCGUUAGAUUAGCUAGUUGGUGAGGUAAUGGCUCACCAAGGCAACGAUCUAUAGCUGGUCUGAGAGGAUGAUCAGCCUCACUGGGACUGAGACACGGCCCAGACUCCUACGGGAGGCAGCAGUGGGGAAUAUUGGACAAUGGGGGCAACCCUGAUCCAGCCAUGCCGCGUGAAUGAUGAAGGCCUUCGGGUUGUAAAGUUCUUUGACGGGACGAUGAUGACGGUACCCGUAGAAUAAGCUCCGGCUAACUUCGCGCCAGCAGCCGC
rnacentral:rRNA from 1 species